rnacentral:lncRNA from 1 species
CGGUCAAGCACACAUAAAGGUUAAAAGACCUUUGAAAGAGUAUCCUGUUCAUGCUUAUAAUCUCCUCUUACAACUCUCAAACGCUGACUAAUAGGCUCUCUCAUAUUGCUUUCAGGUAUCAUUGAUCUCUGCAUAUCCCUUUCAAGUUUCUGAAAAGUGCACAGGCAGGAAAAUGAAAGUGUCAGAAAGGAACCCAACUAAAGAGAACCCUGCAAACAGUGUUGUUCAAAUAUUUGUUUUUCUCAUCUUGAGGCCUCCAGGUACUUCCUUGUGUCAUAUGCUCACUGCAGAGGUGUGGGAAUUACCAUAUAGGACAGACAUUUUUCCUUUGAGAAUUCUGCAGGUAAAAUCAAAAGGUGGAGUUUUUUAAAGGAGAUAUUUGUAGGAAUAUCAUGCUUUCUCAAUCAAGAAUCAAACAAGUGGGGGAAAAAAAAAAACAACAACAACAAAACCACCACACCAACUUCACCAACAAAAACAAUAAAAUAAAAUAAAAUAAAAUAAAAUUUAAUAAA